rnacentral:lncRNA from 1 species
GCAACAGGGACAAAAGCAAAAUAAGUCCCAACCCCUGUCCACAAGAGUCUAAGAAUCUAGUAGAGGAUGGAAAGAAAGAGGCAAUUAUUCAAAGGGAGACGGCAUCUGAACCUUGCCGAGUAGGAAUGUUCCAGAAGUAAGAGAGAUGACUAGGGUUUCAAGAACAAGGACCAGCACCUAUGAAGGCUCUGAGGCACAGACCACUGUGACCUGUGGAGAAGUGAGCAAAUGAAUUUAGAGCCAUUACUUGAUGGUGAGUGGGGAUUACUCAGGUUGGAAGGAACCUCCAAGUGCACAUGGCCCG